rnacentral:tRNA from 2 species
CGGGGUGUGGCGCAGUCCGGUAGCGCGCAUGCUUUGGGAGCAUGAUGUCGGAGGUUCAAAUCCUCUCACCCCGA